CCGUAGUUUCAGUAUAAACAAGGAACCCGACUGGUUGGGCGGAUUUUCUUUUUAAUCCUUCUUCCCGCGCGCUCUCGCUCGCUGUCCUUUGGUCGCAUUUGUGGGCGCGCGGCAAACAUCCGGAGGCCGAGGAUUCUGGGGUCCGUGUGCGGGAAAGCAUGCCUCAGACUCCUCCCUUUUCAGCAAUGUUUGACAGCAGUGGUUACAACCGAAACCUCUAUCAGUCUGCAGAGGACAGCUGUGGAGGGUUGUAUUACCAUGACAACAACCUCCUCUCCGGAUCUCUGGAAGCACUCAUCCAGCACUUAGUACCUAAUGUGGAUUACUAUCCGGAUAGAACGUACAUCUUCACCUUCCUACUCAGUUCUCGGUUAUUUAUGCAUCCCUAUGAGCUAAUGGCCAAAGUUUGCCACUUGUGUGUCGAGCACCAGAGACUAAGUGAUCCUAGCAGUGAUAAGAACCUGAUAAGAAAAAUUGCACCUAAAAUCCUUCAACUCCUGACAGAAUGGACGGAAACAUUUCCAUAUGAUUUUCGGGAUGAAAGAAUGAUGAGGAACUUAAAAGAUCUGGCUCACCGAAUAGCCAGCGGUGAAGAGACAUACCGGAAGAAUGUCCAGCAGAUGAUUCAGUGUCUGAUCCGCAAACUUGCUACGCUCAGCCAGUACGAGGAAGUCCUGGCAAAAAUCAGCGCCACGUCCACAGAUCGGCUCACAGUUCUCAAGAACAAGCCACAGUCUAUACAAAGGGACAUCAUUACAGUCUGCAGUGACCCUUACACGUUGGCCCAGCAGCUGACUCACAUAGAGCUGGAGAGACUCAAUUACAUUGGACCAGAAGAAUUUGUUCAAGCAUUUGUUCAGAAGGACCCUUUGGACAAUGACAAGAAUUGCUACGGUGAACGGAAGAAGACGCGCAACUUAGAAGCUUACGUGGAAUGGUUUAAUCGCCUCAGCUACUUGGUCGCUACAGAAAUCUGCAUGCCUGUAAAAAAGAAGCAUCGAGCAAGAAUGAUUGAGUAUUUUAUUGAUGUGGCUCGGGAGUGUUUUAACAUUGGCAACUUUAAUUCCUUGAUGGCAAUAAUCUCUGGAAUGAAUAUGAGUCCUGUCUCUCGACUAAAGAAAACUUGGGCCAAAGUGAAGACUGCGAAGUUUGACAUUCUUGAGCAUCAGAUGGACCCUUCAAGCAAUUUCUAUAAUUAUCGAACAGCUCUUCGUGGGGCAGCACAAAGGUCUUUAACUGCUCAUAGUAGCAGAGAGAAAAUUGUGAUACCAUUCUUCAGUCUCUUAAUCAAAGAUAUUUAUUUCCUCAAUGAGGGCUGUGCCAACCGCCUUCCAAAUGGGCACGUCAAUUUUGAGAAAUUUUGGGAACUGGCCAAACAAGUUAGCGAAUUCAUGACAUGGAAACAGGUAGAAUGUCCAUUUGAGAGGGACCGGAAGAUCUUGCAGUAUCUGCUCACAGUGCCAGUCUUCAGCGAAGAUGGUGAGUCAGCCAUUCGGAUGGCUGCCACUAGCAUCCCCAAGCCCUGGGAUUAGGAAACUGGUCUAUAAAUGGUUGGUGCCUGGUUCCUCAUAUAGUUUGAAGACUGCCCUCUGACCUCUUCCAUCUUAAGACUUUUCUAAUGCAUAGAAAACCUUAUGAUUUAUCCACAAAAUAUUUGGCUUGUGCACCUAUGUAAUAUUCACCCAUUAACUGGGUUUAAAGAUUCUUUAUAAUAUAUCUGCAGAGCUUUGGGCACAAAUGGGAAGUUAUUGAAGGUUUUUUUUUUUUUUCCUUGUGGGAGCUUGUUUCAAUAUAGAAAAAGAUGUUUCAUGGUAUGUUGAUAUUCCAAGGUAAUUUGAUGAAAAAAAAACCAUUUAUUGCUAUCCCUUGUUUAAAAAGUAGUAGAAAGUCCUGACCUGUUAUAUAUUGGAGAAUUUGAGGCAGAAAAAGUGAUUGAAUAUGUACAGAAAAAUUCACUGGGAGAGAGAGUUUGUAAAAGGUUUGGUGAUUUAUCCCAUUUUUGUUGUAUUCUCAUAUUAUUGGAAUCAAUAGCACCUAACAAUUCUCAUGGUAAAUUGAUAGUGUUCAUGAUAAUGACUGAAGAACAUUUUGAAUUAUCAGUGAAAGACUAAGUAUAAUGGACCUUAAAUGUGGAUAUAUGUUAAAUUGUUUUAAUUAUUGGAAAAUUAGAAAUGUAUGCUUGUUAAUUUGAUCCUAAUGCCCAUGACUUCUGUUUCUUGAACUGAACAAAUUGAAGACCUCAUCACAGUUCCCAAUUUGAUUCUCCAUUUACCAGUGAAUUUUACUCCUUGAUAUUAGUGAUACCUACCUAUUCUAAAGGCAGCUUGACCAUUUUUGUCCCACAACUAGGUUUAAUGUCACGCUUUUUAUUCUUUGGAUGAAAAUUCUUUCUGAUUGGAAAAGAAAGAAAAAAAUAUUGAAAGGAUGGACAAUUGGUCUAUAAAACCUGGCUUUUUACCUAUGAAGAGUUUUUAGAAACUGAGGCUACCAGGAAAAGAUCCCCCUACUUCUUUGUAAAGAACAUUAAUCUGAGUAUAUGAUAGCAUCAUGUGGCUUGCAGUUGUAAGGUUUUUUGUUUUUUUUUUGGCCUCAUAAAUUGUCUCAGCAAAUUAAAGUUGCUUUUUUUUGCCCAGAAGCCCUUGGGUUUUUGUUGAAAUGGCCAGUCAGAGGCAAAAUGAUAUUCCGUGUUCUUAAUGAAACUAUGAAGCUUCUCUGCCAUGAUUUGAUAUAAAGUGUAUGUUUUGCUGUAGAGUUUCGGUCAAGUUGAAGAAGGGGGUGGGUGUUGGUGGAUAAUAUUGGAAGAAGGCUUUAAUGUUAACACACUCUUCUUUUUGGUUGAUUAUAGCUCUCUACUUCUCUCUUAUGGAGAGUGAAGGACCUGAAAAUCAUAUAGAGAAAGACAGAUGGAAGUCUUUGAGGUCGAGCCUCUUAGGCAGAGUUUAACAAGUGGGAUACUGACUGCUGCUGCCGCUGCUUCAUGUGGUUCACUGGCAACUAGUACUAGGAAAACUCCUGAGGACUCCACCAGCAUCAGUGUGCUCCAGUCAGCAAGGAAAGCCAGCUCACUCAAGAGCAGAUGGGGAACUUAUUUUCUGCAACUGACAGAUUGACCAGAUUUUGUGAGACUGAAAUGUUCACUGAAGAUGCUCGAGAGAGAAUCCUCUGAAGAUCCCAGCUCUGCACAUGAUUCAUCUCCUGGAAUUUCCAUGUGAAUCACAGCUCUGCACCUGGAUGGAGCCUUCUUUUGUGUGUGUUUUUUUAUUUGGUUGAACAUUUGCUGCUAAUGGGACUUGCCCAGCCAAGUGCUGGCACUUAGGAAGCCCAUGUUUCUUUGUUAACUUAAAUGAAAAAGGGAGAGGAGGGAGGGGGAUAACCCCCUUCAUUUAGAUCCCCAAACUCAGCUCCAUCAGUAUUUCUAGAGAGAGGUAAGACUGGUUGAAUGCUGACAGUGGAGUUUGUUUCCCUUUAGUGUGUGCUGUGUUGUGAAUUCCUCUCCUCCCUCUUCCUACAAGGUUUUGAGUUGGCUGCUGGUUAGCAAACUCAUUUUUACCCACGUAAGUUAUUUAAUAUAAUAAUGAAGCUCAACACUGUGGUAGGAAAAUAGCCACUAGGGAAAAAAAAAAGCAGAGUUUGUUGUUGGACUGCUUAAUGUUCUAGAAGGACUUUUUUUUUGUUUUCUUUGCCCCUCUGAGCUGUUUACAACUGACCACUGUGUGCUAUGGAUGUAUUUUUCAGUUUUUGUUAGUUACUUUUCCAUGACACCGAUUUUUUUUUCUUGUAAAUUUAAAUGAUCUGACAUAAGGGUCUUGGAAAAAUUCCAUGGCAUAAUUACAUUUAAAUUUUCUUUAACAGGCUAUUAUUUUUCAUUACUUUUGGGGUCUGUUGGUGACUAAACAUGUAAACAAAGAAUAAAUUGGAAAAGUGACUCCCCUCCCAGCAGUGAACAAAACAAAUGAAAAACAUCUUGCUGUUAACUCAGUGGUUGAUCUAAUUGUGAAAUAGUUCACCUUGUUAAACAUCUAAGUAAGUCUGUAGUUGCUCUGCAAACUUAGCCAUUAUAUUUAUUUACUCUAGGAAAAACUGUAGAGUAGUAAUCUGUGCUAAUGAAAAAGAAAAAAAAAAAGAACAACAAAACAGCUUAUUAGAGUUGUAUUUGAAAACUUCAUGACAUGGUUUAAAAAAAAAGAGCAUGUGUGCGUGCUGCACGUCAUCUGAGCAGACCUAAAAUGUCUCCAAGUUGUCCCUUUACAAUCAUCAAUAUAUUUUACACUCUGCUGCCAA